UUCAUGCAUGAGCAAAACAAAUAGUAUGACAGAAUUUAUUCCCCUUCAAAUGCAUGCAUGGGAUAUGGAGUUUCCUUGAAAGGAGAACUCUUAGAAGCUCCGCUAGUUGCACUAAAAGGUCAGGAAGACAUGCCUCAAAGGACACAAGGCAAUUACCUUAGAAGAAUUCUUGAGUUGAACUACGCCCGAGGGGGAUCAAUUAACAAACAAACUUUGGGACCCUGUAAACUAGUUGAGGCACAUCCCGCGAUUAACUUAACAAACAAACCAAUUAAAUGGAGUGCAAAUGACCGAUCUCAUUCUUGGUACUAAAGAGUGUAAAUGUGUAAUUAUUAGAAGAAAAAAAAAGGUGAUGAAGUGAAGAUGUUUAGUUCUAAGAAACUAAAAAUGGAGUGAAUUAUAAUCAAUCAUCUGCAAUUGCAAGAAGAUAGAAAUUAUAAACAAUCAUCUGCAAUUUGUCACAAGAAAAUGGAAAUCAAAAGCAUAUUAAACUAUAGGAAUGAUACAGUUAUUGAAUUUGCUAAUUAUGAAUAGACUAAUCAAGUUUCCAACAAUUGAAAGAGA